rnacentral:rRNA from 1 species
CGGCGAGGGGAGUGAAAAAGAACCUGAAACCGUGUACGUACAAGCAGUGGGAGCACCCUUUGGGGUGUGACUGCGUACCUUUUGUAUAAUGGGUCAGCGACUUAUAUUCUGUAGCAAGGUUAACCGCAUAGGGGAGCCGGAGGGAAACCGAGUCUUAAUUGGGCGUUAAGUUGCAGGGUAUAGACCCGAAACCCGGUGAUCUAGCCAUGGGCAGGUUGAAGGUUGGGUAACACUAACUGGAGGACCGAACCGACUAAUGUUGAAAAAUUAGCGGAUGACCUGUGGCUGGGGGUGAAAGGCCAAUCAAACCGGGAGAUAGCUGGUUCUCCCCGAAAGCUAUUUAGGUAGCGCCUCGUGAAUUCAUCUCCGGGGGUAGAGCACUGUUUCGGCUAGGGGGCCAUCCCGGCUUACCAACCCGAUGCAAACUGCGAAUACCGGAGAAUGUUAUCACGGGAGACACACGGCGGGUGCUAACGUCCGUCGUGAAGAGGGAAACAACCCAGACCGCCAGCUAAGGUCCCAAAGUCAUGGUUAAGUGGGAAACGAUGUGGGAAGGCCCAGACAGCCAGGAUGUUGGCUUAGAAGCAGCCAUCAUUUAAAGAAAGCGUAAUAGCUCACUGGUCGAGUCGGCCUGCGCGGAAGAUGUAACGGGGCUAAACCAUGCACCGAAGCUGCGGCAGCGACGCUUAUGCGUUGUUGGGUAGGGGAGCGUUCUGUAAGCCUGUGAAGGUGUGUCGUGAGGCAUGCUGGAGGUAUCAGAAGUGCGAAUGCUGACAUAAGUAACGAUAAAGCGGGUGAAAAGCCCGCUCGCCGGAAGACCAAGGGUUCCUGUCCAACGUUAAUCGGGGCAGGGUGAGUCGACCCCUAAGGCGAGGCCGAAAGGCGUAGUCGAUGGGAAACGGGUUAAUAUUCCCGUACUUGGUGUUACUGCGAAGGGGGGACGGAGAAGGCUAUGUUGGCCGGGCGACGGUUGUCCCGGUUUAAGCGUGUAGGUGUGUGUUCAAGGUAAAUCCGGUUCACUUUAACACUGAGGCGUGAUGACGAGGCACUACGGUGCUGAAGCAACAAAUGCCCUGCUUCCAGGAAAAGCCUCUAAGCAUCAGGUAACAUCAAAUCGUACCCCAAACCGACACAGGUGGUCAGGUAGAGAAUACCAAGGCGCUUGAGAGAACUCGGGUGAAGGAACUAGGCAAAAUGGUGCCGUAACUUCGGGAGAAGGCACGCUGACAUGUAGGUGAAGUGAUUUACUCAUGGAGCUGAAGUCAGUCGAAGAUACCAGCUGGCUGCAACUGUUUAUUAAAAACACAGCACUGUGCAAACACGAAAGUGGACGUAUACGGUGUGACGCCUGCCCGGUGCCGGAAGGUUAAUUGAUGGGGUCAGCGCAAGCGAAGCUCCUGAUCGAAGCCCCGGUAAACGGCGGCCGUAACUAUAACGGUCCUAAGGUAGCGAAAUUCCUUGUCGGGUAAGUUCCGACCUGCACGAAUGGCGUAAUGAUGGCCAGGCUGUCUCCACCCGAGACUCAGUGAAAUUGAACUCGCUGUGAAGAUGCAGUGUACCCGCGGCAAGACGGAAAGACCCCGUGAACCUUUACUAUAGCUUGACACUGAACAUUGAGCCUUGAUGUGUAGGAUAGGUGGGAGGCUUUGAAGUGUGGACGCCAGUCUGCAUGGAGCCGACCUUGAAAUACCACCCUUUAAUGUUUGAUGUUCUAACGUGGACCCGUAAUCCGGGUUGCGGACAGUGUCUGGUGGGUAGUUUGACUGGGGCGGUCUCCUCCUAAAGAGUAACGGAGGAGCACGAAGGUUGGCUAAUCCUGGUCGGACAUCAGGAGGUUAGUGCAAUGGCAUAAGCCAGCUUGACUGCGAGCGUGACGGCGCGAGCAGGUGCGAAAGCAGGUCAUAGUGAUCCGGUGGUUCUGAAUGGAAGGGCCAUCGCUCAACGGAUAAAAGGUACUCCGGGGAUAACAGGCUGAUACCGCCCAAGAGUUCAUAUCGACGGCGGUGUUUGGCACCUCGAUGUCGGCUCAUCACAUCCUGGGGCUGAAGUAGGUCCCAAGGGUAUGGCUGUUCGCCAUUUAAAGUGGUACGCGAGCUGGGUUUAGAACGUCGUGAGACAGUUCGGUCCCUAUCUGCCGUGGGCGCUGGAGAACUGAGGGGGGCUGCUCCUAGUACGAGAGGACCGGAGUGGACGCAUCACUGGUGUUCGGGUUGUCAUGCCAAUGGCACUGCCCGGUAGCUAAAUGCGGAAGAGAUAAGUGCUGAAAGCAUCUAAGCACGAAACUUGCCCCGAGAUGAGUUCUCCCUGAGACUUUAGGUCUCCUGAAGGAACGUUGAAGACGACGACGUUGAUAGGCCGGGUGUGUAAGCGCAGCGAUGCGUUGAGCUAACCGGUACUAAUGAACCGUGAGGCUUAACCUU